rnacentral:rRNA from 1 species
CCUACGGGUGGCAGCAGUGAGGAAUAUUGGUCAAUGGGCGUAAGCCUGAACCAGCCAAGUCGCGUGAGGGAUGAAGGUUCUAUGGAUCGUAAACCUCUUUUAUAAGGGAAUAAAGGGCGGGACGUGACCCGUGUUGUAGGUACCUUAGGAAUAAGGAAUGGGUAACUCCGUGCCAGCAGCCGCGGGAAUACGGAGGAUGCGAGCGUUAUCCGGAUUUAUUUGGUGUAAAGGGUGCGCAGGCGGGGGGGCAAGUCAGCGGUCAAAUUGCGGGGCUCAACCCCGUACUGCCGUUGAAACUGCAUCCCUUGAGUGCGCGAGAAGUAUGCGGAAUGCGUGGUGUAGCGGUGAAAUGCAUAGAUAUCACGCAGAACUCCGAUUGCGAAGGCAGCAUACCGGCGCGCAACUGACGCUCAUGCACGAAAGCGUGGGUAUCGAACAGGAUUAGAUACCCCUGUAGUC